rnacentral:miRNA from 1 species
UAAUGCCCAGCUGAUGCAUCGG